rnacentral:lncRNA from 1 species
AUGCAGCUCCCAAGGCCAAGGAGGCUGCGGCGCUGGGCGGCUGCGCCGGGGAGGGGCAGGGAGGUGGCGGGCCGGGGGACCCCGCGCCCCCUCUUCGUCCGGACCCGGGAGCCCCCACAAGCGCGGGCCAAGUCGGGGCGCCACAGGGUCUGCUCCUCCUUCAGGGGAACGAGGGACGCGCUGCGGGGGACACGCGGGGCGGGGGCCUCCCCUCUUGGUCUCGUCCAGCAGGCGCGGCGCGGCGGCCCAGCCGAGGGCCAGGGUGGCCGCGAGGCCCCGGGCGUGGCCGCCGUCCCCGCAGCCCCCGGCGCCGCCCCGGCCCCGCGGAGCCACCACAUAAGGAAAUGUUUGCGCCGGGGCGGCGCGGCCUCCGGGCAGCGGCCCGCUCGCUCCCGCCUCCCCGCUGCCUCUCGCCCGCCUCCCCCCUGCUCCCCCCCGCCCGCCCCUCCCCUCUGUCUCCCCCCUGCCUCCCGCCCGCCUGCCCCCUGCUCCCUCCCCGCCCGCCCGCCUCCCCCUGCCUCCAGCCCGCCUCCCCCCUGCUCCCUCCCCGCCCGCCCGCCUCCCCCCUGCCUCCAGCCCGCCUCCGGACCCGGGACCAGGCUGGGCUGGGGAGGCCGGCGGGGGGAGGGGGAGGGGAGGUUGGGGGGGGUUGGGGGGGGUCCCCGCCCCGGCCGGUCGGCUGGGUGGGACCUGGGUGGGACCGGCCGGAAACCUGCCGCCCCCGCGCCCCGGCCCACGUUGGGGACCCGGUCUGCCCUGCGGGGGAGGGGGCGGACGGGACCCCGCCUUGGCCAUUUCAGAUCCUGGGGGCCGCCUGGACGGAUGGUCUCCCUGAUGAAGUCCCUCCCGCCCUUUGGAAGCUGGCACACCCAGGCCAGCUGUCCCUCUCCGGGCGUCCAGAGCGAAGUGUUCCUUCUCUGCAUUGUGACCCCGAGGCAUCCCGACUCCCAGUCACCCCGGAGGGAAGACACAGUGUAUAACCUGCCUGCUGGGCGGGCAAGGUCAGGCUCGGGCGGACUGCCUCCCUUCCGGACUUUUCCAUUAAUUUAUUUACACAGGCCCAGAACAAGCCCACAGACCUCUGCAGAAGUUGGCAGGCACAAGGUGGCAUUUAUUCUUCUGCAAACGGUCUCAUUUCUCCAGGGACCCCUCCUCUUUUAA